GCGGCUGUAUCCAGAAGAAGCAGAGAGACAGUGCGGCAGUUUGUGGACACACACCUCACAACAGUUGUGUUUUUAUCAAGUAAAAAAGACAUUUCCCCACCAAACGCAACUGCAUAGAUUGUCAACUUCUGCUUCAUCCUCAACGACCCUGGAUCAGUUGACUUCCUCUUCUCCUUCACCACAUUAAUAAACUAGGACACACUGCUUUCUGGAGCAGCCGUGGAUCUGCGCAGGAAGAGGGGCACCUCACAUGGGAGUGUGUGACCGUGUGUGUGAGGGUGUGUGUUCAGGCCUCCUGCCGUCGCCCGCUCUUCCCGGACAGGCAUGGCGGGGGUCCGGAAGCUCGGCUCCAGGAACCAGAGGCCGUGGUCGGUGUACCGAGCCAGCACCUUCGAGCUGUCCAACGAGAUGAUCGGACUCGCUCUCGCUGG